GUGUGGGGCUGGGGUCCCCUCAGUGUGAAUGGCCCAUUAUCCUGCCUAGAGGAUGGGAGUAGGGGGGUCUCUUUGUGUUCCUCCCAGGAAAGGCCUCUUUGGGUGAUAAUCACCCUGGGAGAGAGGUGGAGGUGAUGAGCAUUCAUCACCGUCUCUAUGGAUUUUGCUUAUUUAUUUAUUUUUUGGAUUCAUGUUGUUCUUGCGCACUAGCCUCAUGAAGCCAGAGGUCCUGGGGUCUGUUGGUGCAGGCUGGUGCCCUGGCAUGCAGAGCAGCCCUUGGCACUUAGAGGCGCUCAGUCCAUAUUAGGAAAAGCCCAGAUGACCUGGGUUUGCAGCUGAAGGCUCUUGACCAAGCCACACUGAAGCAGAGAAACGGCAGACUAUUGGUGUGGGUUUCUGGCCGGUGGGGUCCUUCAGCACCUGGAGCCACAGCCGGAGGGUCCUUCCCAGUGCCCCCCAGCCCGGGCUAAGCCCCUAAGUGUCCCAUUAUGCACCAUUCACUUCUCACUUUGUCGAGCCCGUCCGCAGCCGCUGCGUCCUUUUGUCAGAGGGGCCUGGGAGUGCAAGGGGCUAUUACCACGAGGCCUCAUUAUUCCCAGCCAGAGCAAUAAUGAGGAGUCCCUUCCCCAGGCUAGCACAAUCUGUAGGGUCCCUCCCAUUUAAUAACUAUAAUAACAGCCACCAUUUAUGAGCCCCUGCUUCAUGCCCCGCUGCGCACCAAGCACUUUACAUACAUUAUCUCAUUUAAUUCCUCCAACAGCUCUGGCAAUCAGCUACUAUUUGUAUCCCCAUUUUUCAGAUAAGAACGCCAAGACCGGUGCCCAGAGCCCCGUUAUCCUUAGCUCAGCCAUACAGGGGGAGGAAGGGCAGGGAUACAUCCAUGUCCCAGGUGGAACAUGGAGGCGCAGAGAGGGAAGGUGGCCUGGGAGAGAGCACACGGCAGAGUAUUGGGGACCACAGCUAGGACCGGGCAGCAAGAGUCCCUCGGGCACAGAGGAGGGCGAGCAGCAGUCCCCAGAGCGCUCCAGGCCAGAGCAGCCAGGCCUUCACUGUGUUCACAGGGGCAGCUGCUGGCUCCGGGACUUGGCCUGUGCAGAGCUAGUGAGACUCCAGGGGCUCUGCCCAUGAGGCCCAUCCGGCAGUGAGGAGCACUUUCGCUCUCUGGGCCAACACUGAAAUGCUCUUAGAGGGCCAGGGGGUGUGUAGGGCAGAGUGACCAGGCUCUGGGAGGAGGCAGGAACCUGGUGGGAGGAAGGGGAGGAUGAGAAAAGGAACUGAAGCUCCACUCUUUCCUCUCC
ensembl:lncRNA